UACGUAGGGGGCAAGCGUUGUCCGGAUUUAUUGGGCGUAAAGAGCGUGUAGGCGGCCAUGUAGGUCCGUUGUGAAAACUCGAGGCUCAACCUCGAGACGCCGAUGGAAACCAUGUGGCUAGAGUCCGGAAGAGGAGAGUGGAAUUCCUGGUGUAGCGGUGAAAUGCGCAGAUAUCAGGAAGAACACCCGUAGCUAAGGCGGCUCUCUAGUACGGUACUGACGCUGAGACGCGAAAGCGUGGGGAGCGAACAGG
rnacentral:rRNA from 1 species